CGUAUCCUUACGCUGAAUCCAUAGGCGUUUGGAAGCCAACUCGGGGAACUGAACCAUCUCAGUACCCGGAGGAACAGAAAUCAACCGAGAUUCCCUCAGUAGCGGCGAGCGAACGGGGAACAGCCUAAACCGGCCACUCCGCAAGGGGCGACCGGGGUCGUGGGACGGGUCACACGGAGUUACAAAUCUUUUCUAUAGCCGAAUCUUCUGGAAUGUUGAGCCAAAGAAGGUGAAAGCCCUGUACGCGAAAUGGAAAAGACUCCGACCCUGUUCCCGAGUACCACGGAGCACGUGAAACUCUGUGGGAAUCUAGGGGGACCACCCUCUAAGGCUAAAUACUCGCUUGUGACCGAUAGUGAACUAGUACCGUGAGGGAAAGGUGAGAAGAACCCCAGGUGGGGAGUAGCAGAACCUGAAACCGUGUGCUUACAAACAGUCGGAGCUUCGACCUUGCCCUCGGGCAUGGAAUGAGGUGACGGCGUGCCUUUUGCAUAAGGAGCCGGCGAGUUACUGGUACGUGGCAAGGUUAAGUCGCUCAGCGACGAAGCCGCAGCGAAAGCGAGUCCGAACAGGGCGUUGAGUCACGUGCCGUAGACCCGAAGCCAGGUGAUCUAUCCAUGGCCAGGUUGAAACCCCGGUAAGACGGGGUGGAGGACCGAACGGCAAAGUGUUGAAAAACUUUCCGAUGAGCUGUGGAUAGGGGUGAAAGGCUAAUCAAACCUGGAGAUAGCUGGUUCUCCCCGAAAUGCCUUUAGGGGCAGCCUCGCGUUAAGCUGUACGGGGGUAGAGCACUGGAUGGGCACGGGGUCCUACAAGACUACCAACCCCAACCAAACUCCGAAUACCGUUCAUGUGUUUCGCGGGAGUGAGGCUGCGAGGGAUAAGCUUCGUAGCCGUGAGGGAAACAACCCAGACCAUCAGCUAAGGCCCCAAAGUCAAUGCUAAGUGGCUAAGGAUGUGGGAUCGUUUUGACAGCCAGGAUGUUGGCUUAGAAGCAGCCAUACAUUUAAAGAGUGCGUAAUUGCUCACUGGUCUACAUGGCCCCGCGCCGAUAAUACUUGGGACUAAGCAUUGCGCCGAAGCUAUGGGAUGCUCGCAAGAGCAUCGGUAGGGGAGCGUUCUGUGCUGGGCGAAGGUAUCCCGUGAGGGGUGCUGGACGGCACAGAAGUGAUCAUGCCGGCAUGAGUAGCGAUAACGCAAGUGAGAACCUUGCGCACCGAAAGUCUAAGGUUUCCCGGGGAAGGCCAGUCCGCCCGGGGUUAGUCGGUCCCUAAGCCGAGGCCGAGAGGCGUAGGCGAUGGAAAGCAGGUAAAAUAUUCCUGCACUUGGAAACGGGCGACAAAGAAUCGUGAGGGGGGACGCAGAGGUGAAAGGUCAGCCACCGAUUGGAAAUGGUGGUCGAAGCCUGUAGGAGGACCGGGUAGGCAAAUCCGUCCGGUCUUAACUCUGAAGGGUGAUAGGGAAGUGAGCCUUCGGGCAAGCCAACUGACCCUAAACGUGCUGCCAAGAAAAGCCUCGCACGAGAGUUCGUUUUCAAACCGUACCGCAAACCGACACAGGUAGACGGGGAGAGAAUCCUAAGGUGCACGAGUGAUGCGCGGUCAAGGAACUCGGCCAAUUGUCUCCGUAACUUCGGGAGAAGGAGAGCCUGCGCAAGCAGGCCGCAGAGAAUCGGCCCUGGCGACUGUUUACCAAAAACACAGGUCUCUGCGAACACGUAAGUGGACGUAUAGGGACUGACACCUGCCCGGUGCUGGGAUGUUAAGGGGUGGUGUUAGCGCAAGCGAAGCACUAAACCGAAGCACCAGUAAACGGCGGCCGUAACUAUAACGGUCCUAAGGUAGCGAAAUUCCUUGUCGGGUAAGUUCCGACCUGCACGAAUGGUGUAACGAUCAGGGCACUGUCUCGACCGCGUGCUCGGCGAAAUUGUAAUUCCGGUGAAGAUGCCGGAUACCCGCAGCUGGACGGAAAGACCCCGUGAACCUUUACUGCAGCUUGCCAUUGGGUUUUGACUCAUCAUGCGUAGGAUAGGUGGGAGGCUUUGAACUGGGAGCUCCGGCUUCCAGGGAGCCAACCUUGAAAUACCACCCUUGGUGUGUUGAAAUUCUAACUUUGCACCGUAAUCCGGUGCUGGGACAGUGGCUGGUGGGUAGUUUGACUGGGGCGGUCGCCUCCCAAAGAGUAACGGAGGCUCCCAAAGGUACCCUCAGGCUGGUCGGUAAUCAGCCGUUGAGUGUAAAUGCAUAAGGGUGCUUGACUGUGAGACACACACGUCGAUCAGGAGCGAAAGCUGGGAUUAGUGAUCUUGUGGUUGGUUGUGGAACCGCCAUGACUUAAAGGAUAAAAGGUACUCCGGGGAUAACAGGCUGAUCUCGCCCGGGAGUUCACAUCCACGGCGAGGUUUGGCACCUCGAUGUCGGCUCAUCGCAUCCUGGGGCUGGAGCAGGUCCCA
rnacentral:rRNA from 1 species